AUUGAACGCUGGCGGCAGGCCUAACACAUGCAAGUCGAACGAGUGGCGGACGGGUGAGUAAUGUCUGGGAAACUGCCCGAUGGAGGGGGAUAAAUACUGGAAACGGUAGCUAAUACCGCAUACCAUCGGAUGUGCCCAGAUGGGAUUAGCUAGUCGGUGGGGUAACGGCUCACCUAGGCGACGAUCCCUAGCUGGUCUGAGAGAAUGACCAGCGUCACUGGAACUGGAACACGGUCCAGACUCCUACGGGAGGCAGCAGUGGGGAAUAUUGCAGGAUGGGCACAAGCCUGAUGCAGCCAUGCAGCGUGUAUGAAGAAGCCCUUCGGGUUGUAAAGUACUUUCAGCGAGGAGGCGUUACUCGCAGAAUAAGCACCGGCUAACUCCGUGCCAGCAGCCGCGGUAAUUC
rnacentral:rRNA from 1 species